AUGUAUGAUGUUGGAGUCACUGAGAGUAUGAACAGAACAAUCUUGAAGUCUGGAUGGUCAUCAUUUGUUGAUGCCAAUCAAAUAGAAGAGAACUAUUCAUUGAUGUUUCGAUACCUUGGAAAUGCCCGCUUUGAGGUUACAAUAUUUGAUUCCAAUGGUAAAGAGAAUACCUGGUGCUGUUCUGGGAUGAGAAAUGCCUCUGGUGUUCACAAGCCAAGCUCAUUUGAUGUUGAUAAUUCUAGUAGCCGUGGUGGUACUACUCAGUCUUCAGCAAGCGAAGGAUCAGAUUCAGAUGGAAGCCAGAAGGAAAGAUCUUAUUCUUCUGAAGAAUCGUCAGAAGACAAUCUGUCUAUAGACAAUCCAGUGGAGUCCGAUGAUGUUAGGAAUUAUUAUGUCUUAUCAGGGCAGUGCGAUCUUACAGAAGCACAGGAGUUGAAAUUACAUGCAUUUGUACAGAAGAUUGGACCGGAAAUCCCUAUGCUUGUUGUACUGAUGAAGAAGAGUAAUGUGAAACGCAAUGGUGAUCUGGUAAUACGUAAGGAUUAUGCACACAAGUACUUGCCAUGCAAAGAUACAAAUAUCAUACUCCAGGUGCCUAGGAAGAACAAGGUUUGGGAGUGCAAGUUCCGUAUCAGGCCAUCUGGCUCGACUGAUGCUGGUCGGCGCAACCUUUCUUUGGGCGACUUUGUUGGUGACAAUCGCAUUAGGGAGGGCGAUAUCUGCCUCUUUGAUCCAAUGACAAAUGCUAAGCAGAAAAGAUUCACAAUGACAGUCCACAUCCUUGGCAAAUUGAGUAGUGGUCAUUCCACUGGAAGAACAACUGACAUUGGCUCUAAUCGUGGAAGGAGAAGCACCAAGAUGGGCAGUGUUAAGACCAAACCACCUAUCAAUGGUGAGGAGUACUCUUCACAACAUGAAGAGUGUGGUGUAUCUGAUAAUUCUGAAGAAUGUUCUGAGCCUCCCUUCAUGUUGCCUCACAGAUCUUGUCUAACACCAGCACAGGAGAACAAAGUACUGGAGAAAAUUAAAGACAUUGAGUCAGACUCAGAAUUGCCCUUUUAUGUUGCUAUCAUGGGCAAGAUCAAUGUAUGUCGGGGCAGCAGCCAUUACAUUGACCCUCCCAUCCUGAACUUUGGGUUUCGGUAUGCGGCUAGGUAUCUUGGCGAGAAGUUUGCUGCUGGCCAUCAUGGUGGCAAGUGUAAUGCAAUCAACUUAGUACUUCAGCGGGAGGGGAAGAGCAGACCAUGGCCUACCAAGCUGCGAUAUACACAUGUCAUGCGAGCCUCGAGCCAGCAGAUGAGGGUUAUCAAAGGAUGGCCGUCUUUCGCCCGCGACAACCGCCUGCGGGAGGGGGACCUCUGCCUCUUCAAGCUGAUGGAGAACGAGGAGCAGUUGACGAUGAUGGUCUACAUCAUUCGCCGUGAGAAAUGUUAG
rnacentral:rRNA from 1 species